GUUCGCUUGCAGUAGGCGUGGCAAUUUCGUAAAAGUUUUUUCGAGCAAAAUAAUACAUUUUCUAAAAUCAGCGAAUUUUUAGUACAUUCACAGCGUGUACAAAUUCAAUUUAUAUAAAACUGUAGCACAGCAAGUUUCCAAUUUGUCUGAAAUCGAAAAAGCACACAUAAAUUACCAAAUGCCAUGGAGCCUUACGGGCCAGUGGCCACCCUGUUGCUAGCUCUGCUAUACCGGGGGCAUGACUCAAAUGUUAUCUCUUUGCUCGAUUAACCAUUCACUAAAAAGCGCAAGUCUUCCGAGAGCAACGCAACAUUAUCGCUGAUAAGACCCAAUCACAAUCGCCGGCUCAGCAACAAUGUUGCCAUAAUGAGCGAGGCAACUGAGCCAUGCCGAAAUAAUUACACUGUCUACGCACACACAAAAACACAUAUACAUACAUUUGUACAUUCAUGCGUUUAAGUAAAGCAUUAAUUGCAAACAUUUGAUGUUUGGCAAGCACGAAAUCGUUAGUAAUUGGAUGAUAUUUAAGUGCAUCAAUCGUUUAUUAGCUUAACUUAAAUUUUAAGCUUAAAACACUAUACUCAUUUAAUGUAAAACCGAGGAAGAAAACAUUCAAUACCAAAUAAUUAAA